rnacentral:rRNA from 1 species
UACGGGGGGGGGCAAGCGUUGUUCGGAAUUACUGGGCGUAAAGGGCUCGUAGGUGGCCAACUAAGUCAGACGUGAAAUCCCUCGGCUUAACCGGGGAACUGCGUCUGAUACUGGAUGGCUUGAGUUUGGGAGAGGGACGCGGAAUUCCAGGUGUAGCGGUGAAAUGCGUAGAUAUCUGGAGGAACACCGGUGGCGAAGGCGGCGUCCUGGACCAACACUGGACACUGAUGAGCGAAAGCCAGGGGAGCAAACGGG